UACGAAGGGGACUAGCGUUGUUCGGAAUCACUGGGCGUAAAGCGCACGUAGGCGGAUUUGUAAGUCAGGGGUGAAAUCCCGGGGCUCAACCUCGGAACUGCCUUUGAUACUGCGAGUCUUGAGUCCGAUAGAGGUGGGUGGAAUUCCUAGUGUAGAGGUGAAAUUCGUAGAUAUUAGGAAGAACACCGGUGGCGAAGGCGGCCCACUGGAUCGGUACUGACGCUGAGGAGCGAAAGCGUGGGGAGCGAACAG
rnacentral:rRNA from 1 species